rnacentral:siRNA from 1 species
AGGUUUUUAAUGAGGCAAAUGAU